rnacentral:misc_RNA from 1 species
UGAUGCAUCAAGCAACUGCCACACCAUUGAAAAGACAAAUUCAACCAGAAGAAGCCCAGGUUCGCACACUUGAAGGCCAAAUAUAUGAGAAAGAUGAAGAACCUCAUCAACUGAUUUCAUAAUCUUUGGAUAAUUUGGUCCAUUGACUUGAGAUGCAAAUGAAAAGGCAUGCCUCUUAACGAGUUCCAUGUAAAGCCUGUAUGCAACUGGUUGAAGCUGUCGAUUUGGAAUCACCCUAGUGGAGAGAAGAGCGAUGACAAGCAUAGGAGGGGCGAUAUUAACAGCCAAUGCCUUCUCGAGGAACUUCCACGUGAUGGGCACGUUAUUCUCGAAGCAGAUGUGGGAGACCAACAGGUGGGCCAACUCGGUAGACGGCAAGACAACCCGGGCGGAGUUGAGGCUGGAACUGAGCUGAAUCGCCCAGAGCAGAGGAUCGCUGUUUUUGUCCUGCGCCGACUUGGUGAGUUGGAGGACCGAGUCCCAGAGAGUCAGUUGAUUAGGCUGCAAGGACACGGCCAUCAUCUCUCCUUGUAAAAUCUAGUGAGCUGCCAAAUUUGGAAAUAUCUACGCAGAGGAAUUCAUGGAGAAAGAAAAGGAAGUGUUGGACAGAUUAAAGAGAGAAAAAGCUUGCUCCUAUCUG